rnacentral:lncRNA from 1 species
GGCCAGCUCUGUGGUGGGAGCAGCCUGAAAGUCCCUGGGAUCUGGGAACUUUUAUCGUUCUGAGGAACAAGAAAAACAGAGACACCUGGAAAAGCUUUGCAGGAGGAGUGGCCACAGGUCACCUGGUAGCAUGUACAUGUCUGCAGGGCCCAGCUGAGUUCUGGGGGAUGGAAGGUGGCUCCAGGAAAUGGUGACCUGAGGAACAGAUGGCCCCAGAGCCCCAUGAAACCUGUAAAGGAGUCUAGAGCCCUAAGUUGCUUCUCUCAAAGGUCCUGCUGAUUUCCUGAUUAAAAGAUUAAAAGAGCCGGGCACAGUGGCUCAUGCCUGUACUCCCAGCUGUUUGCAAGGCC